GCCGAAUGAGUUUCUGACCUAUCAACUCGAGACGGCGGGGUAGAGGCCCGCCGCGGUAACGACGGGUAACGGGGAAUCAGGGUUCGAUUCCGGAGAGGGAGCCCGAGAAACGGCUACCACUUCCAAGGAAGGCAGCAGGCGCGCAACUUACCCUAAUCUCGAUUCGAGGAGGUAGUGACAAGAAAUACCGAUGCGGGACCCUACGGGUGCCGCGUUCGGAAUGAGUACGAUUCGAACCACCUAACGAGGAACGAUCGGAGGGCAAGUCUGGUGCCAGCAGCCGCGGUAAUUCCAGCUCCAAUAGCGUACGUUAAAGUUGCUGCAGUUAAAAAGCUCGUAGUUGAACGUUCGGGUUCCGCGGGACGGGGCCGCCCCGCGAGGGACGGCGCCGCCCCGGGGCUCGUGAUAUCUUAUCUCGCCGCCCGUCGCGAGCGGACGGAGGGAUGGAUGAGGUUACCUGGAAAAAAUCGGGGCGAUCUAGGCGGGCGAACCUC
rnacentral:rRNA from 1 species